rnacentral:rRNA from 1 species
CCUACGGGAGGCAGCAGUGGGGAAUUUUGGACAAUGGGCGCAAGCCUGAUCCAGCCAUGCCGCGUGAGUGAAGAAGGCCUUCGGGUCGUAAAGCUCUUUCGGCCGGGAAGAAAUCGCAUUGGUUAAUACCUGGUGUGGAUGACGGUACCGGAAUAAGAAGCACCGGCUAACUACGUGCCAGCAGCCGCGGUAAUACGUAGGGUGCGAGCGUUAAUCGGAAUUACUGGGCGUAAAGCGUGCGCAGGCGGUUUUGUAAGACAGGCGUGAAAUCCCCGGGCUCAACCUGGGAACUGCGCUUGUGACUGCAAGGCUAGAGUACGGCAGAGGGGGGUGGAAUUCCACGUGUAGCAGUGAAAUGCGUAGAGAUGUGGAGGAACACCAAUGGCGAAGGCAGCCCCCUGGGUCGAUACUGACGCUCAUGCACGAAAGCGUGGGUAGCAAACAGGAUUAGAUACCCUGGUAGUCCACGCCCUAAACGAUGUCAACUAGGUGUUGGGAGGGUAAAACCUUUUAGUACCGGAGCUAACGCGUGAAGUUGACCGCCUGGGGAGUACGGCCGCAAGGUUAAAACUCAAAGGAAUUGACGGGGACCCGCACAAGCGGUGGAUGAUGUGGAUUAAUUCGAUGCAACGCGAAAAACCUUACCUACCCUUGACAUGUCAGGAAGUCUUGAGAGAUUGAGAUGUGCCCGAAAGGGAACCUGAACACAGGUGCUGCAUGGCUGUCGUCAGCUCGUGUCGUGAGAUGUUGGGUUAAGUCCCGCAACGAGCGCAACCCUUGUCGUUAAUUGCCAUCAUUUAGUUGGGCACUUUAGCGAGACUGCCGGUGACGAACCGGAGGAAGGUGGGGAUGACGUCAAGUCCUCAUGGCCCUUAUGGGUAGGGCUUCACACGUCAUACAAUGGUCGGUACAAAGGGUCGCCAACCCGCGAGGGGGAGCCAAUCCCAGAAAGCCGAUCGUAGUCCGGAUUGCAGGCUGCAACUCGCCUGCAUGAAGUCGGAAUCGCUAGUAAUCGUGGAUCAGCAUGUCACGGUGAAUACGUUCCCGGGCCUUGUACACACCGCC